rnacentral:rRNA from 1 species
AGUGAACGCUGGCGGUAGACCUAACACAUGCAAGUCGAACGGCAGCACAGUAAGAGCUUGCUCUUACGGGUGGCGAGUGGCGGACGGGUGAGGAUUACAUCGGAAUCUACUUUUUCGUGGGGGAUAACGUAGGGAAACUUACGCUAAUACCGCAUACGACCUACGGGUGAAAGCAGGGGAUCUUCUGACCUUGCGCGAUUGAAUGAGCCGAUGUCGGAUUAGCUAGUUGGCGGGGUAAAGGCCCACCAAGGCGACGAUCCGUAGCUGGUCUGAGAGGAUGAUCAGCCACACUGGAACUGAGACACGGUCCAGACUCCUACGGGAGGCAGCAGUGGGGAAUAUUGGACAAAGGGCGCAAGCCUGAUCCAGCCAUACCGCGUGGGUGAAGAAGGCCUUCGGGUUGUAAAGCCCUUUUGUUGGGAAAGAAAAGCAGCAGGUUAAUACCCCGCUGUUCUGACGGUACCCAAAGAAUAAGCACCGGCUAACUUCGUG